GCUAACUCUAUUUAUAAAAUUCUCUCUCUUAUAUAGAAAACCUCUUUUUCUCUCCAUUUUUAUUUUCUUGUUUGGGCAUUCAACCAUUCUCUUGCCAGUAUAUUUGGCCUUCUUCUACUCGGGUAGGGAAAAGCUCUUCUUUUCGCUGAUUUGAUCGUGAAUAAUUCUCUCUCCAUCGCUCAGUUAGGGUGUAAAUAGUUUUUUGUUGGGUUUUUGAUAGUAGCGUUUCACAAUAUAUAGAGCCUUCUUCUACUCCGUCGGGCAGGGAAAAGCUCUUCUUUUCGCUGAUUUAAUCGUGGAUAAUUCUCUCUCCACCACUGAGUUAGGGUGUAAAUGGUUUUUUGUUGGAUUUUUUACAGUAGCGUUUCACAAUAUAUAGAGUUUAUUGGUUGCCUUGCUUGGUCCUUGCAGGAUUGUUUCAGCUAGAUUUGCUUAUACUCUCAAUGAUUGAUUUGGUUAUGGUGACCCUGUUUGCUUGAGGGGGGUUUGGUGCUUCGCUUGUUGCCGACAGAGAACCAAGAGCUUAGGAGCAGUGAUUUCUCCAGUUUUUGUGGUGUGGUAACUCCCGGAGAUGUUAUCAAUAUUUCUCCACAACAUCCGGUCUCCUAAGAGUCGAUGGUGCUAAGGAGCAGUACCUCGCUGCCACUAGUUGACUUUGGUUCUAGGCUUGACUUUAUGUCUUCUUGGCUCUACUUUACCCUUUGAGACCUCUGGCUAUAACCCAAUGUUAAGUGGAAGCUUUUUGAUUGGAAUCAUAGUGAGUUGGCCUUGCCGGUUUGUUAUUGUAUUUUUUGUGCUUGACGUGGUGCUUUAUCUACCAUGCAGCGACUUGAAGUAGAGGCCUGAAAGCUGAAUGACAAUUAUAGUUUUCUUGCUCUUUUAGGUCUCUCUACCUUUUGAGUGGACAUUCUAGAGCUAGAUUUUUGACACGUUUGGGCCUUUCUUUUUAAGUUGGUGUUCUUGAGGCUUCUUUGUAGAGUUGGACUUUAAUUUUUUGAGGCUUAUGUUAUAUGUAUUUUUCUUUUUAGAAAUUGUUAAGUCUGCCUCUGUAUCCUAGUUUUGGCUUUGGGCCAAACUCCUGCAAUGGAUCCUUAUCUUUAGCAAAAAAAAAAAAAAAGCAACUGCUAUGUGCCCCCAUGGGUGGAGGGAGCCUCUCUCCGUUGGGCUGUGGGUUGCCUCUCCACCGCCGAGUGGAGAUGUAUAUAUUAUUUUUGUCUUUGGUGGCAGCGUUACUCAACGAUAGAAACUUGUUUUGAAACUCUUCUUUUGGUGAUGAAUGAUGGCAACAACUCAUAGAUCUGGAUUCUGCUCUUUUACCUGAGGUUUUGUCGUCUAGAGUCAAACUCUUCUUUUGGUGAUGAAUGAUGGCAACAGCUCAUAGAUCUGGAUUCUGCUCUUUUACCUGAGGUUUUGUCGUCUAGAGUCUCAGUUCUUGGCUCAAACUCGGUGAUUUUACAGAGUUGAUUGAAGAAGUUUCUCUUAUUUCAUUAUCGUUGGGAUCUCACCGAUCGUCGCUUCCUACAGUGUUGCAUGUGUGUUUUAUAGAUGGCCUAGUUCUCUUUGAAAAUGUGGAAGCAUGGUGGAUAUUUCCACUUAUUUAAAUGAGAUUUCCUUGUGUUUUAUAUAUAGCCUUUGCUUUUUCUUUGGGCUUUUUUUCUAUGAAUACCACCGGUGAAGCUACUAGAGUCGUUGCAGAGAAGAGAGUGACGCCCUUGCUUGGUUGAUACCGAGUAGGAGUUUUGAGUCAAGUUUUUUUCUCGAGUUUUAGGAUUUAUUGUUUUAUGUAUUUUUUUUUUCUUUAAGAUCUUGAGGGUUGUUAUUGGGUUUAAAUUUGACCUUUUGGUUUGUAAUUUAUUAUUCUUAUACCUUACUUUUAAGUGUAGAAACUCCUUAAAGUUCUUGGA